rnacentral:rRNA from 1 species
AGAGUUUGAUCAUGGCUCAGGAUGAACGCUGGCGGCGUGCUUAACACAUGCAAGUCGAACGGAAAGGCCACAGCUUGCUGUGGUACUCGAGUGGCGAACGGGUGAGUAACACGUGGGUGAUCUGCCCUGUACUUCGGGAUAAGCUUGGGAAACUGGGUCUAAUACCGGAUAUGACCACUUUUUGGAUGGGGUGGUGGAAAGCUUUUGCGGUAUGGGAUGAGCUCGCGGCCUAUCAGCUUGUUGGUGGGGUAAUGGCCUACCAAGGCGUCGACGGGUAGCCGGCCUGAGAGGGUGUACGGCCACAUUGGGACUGAGAUACGGCCCAGACUCCUACGGGAGGCAGCAGUGGGGAAUAUUGCACAAUGGGCGCAAGCCUGAUGCAGCGACGCCGCGUGGGGGAUGACGGCCUUCGGGUUGUAAACUCCUUUCGUCAGGGACGAAGCGUAAGUGACGGUACCUGGAUAAGAAGCACCGGCUAACUACGUGCCAGCAGCCGCGGUAAUACGUAGGGUGCGAGCGUUGUCCGGAAUUACUGGGCGUAAAGAGCUCGUAGGUGGUUUGACGCGUCGUUUGUGUAAGUCCACGGCUUAACUGUGGGAUGGCAGGCGAUACGGGCAUAACUUGAGUGCUGUAGGGGAGACUGGAAUUCCUGGUGUAGCGGUGAAAUGCGCAGAUAUCAGGAGGAACACCGAUGGCGAAGGCAGGUCUCUGGGCAGUAACUGACGCUGAGGAGCGAAAGCAUGGGUAGCGAACAGGAUUAGAUACCCUGGUAGUCCAUGCCGUAAACGGUGGGCGCUAGGUGUGAGUCCCUUCCACGGGGUUCGUGCCGUAGCUAACGCAUUAAGCGCCCCGCCUGGGGAGUACGGCCGCAAGGCUAAAACUCAAAGGAAUUGACGGGGGCCCGCACAAGCGGCGGAGCAUGUGGAUUAAUUCGAUGCAACGCGAAGAACCUUACCUGGGCUUGACAUACACCAGAUCGGCGCAGAGAUGCGUUUUCCCUUGUGGUUGGUGUACAGGUGGUGCAUGGUUGUCGUCAGCUCGUGUCGUGAGAUGUUGGGUUAAGUCCCGCAACGAGCGCAACCCU